UGGAGAAUAAAAAGUGUUGGUGAGGAUGUGGAGAAAUUGUAACCCUCUCACAGGGCUGGUGGGACUGUAGAAUGGUGCAGCCCCUUUGGAAAACAGUCUGACAUCUCCUCAGGUAGUUAUACAUAGAAUUACUGUGCUACAGUAACUCCUCUCCCAGGUAUAAACUUAAAAGAAGUGAAAAUGUAUUCAAAUAAGUAAUUGGAUAUGAAUAUACAUAGUAUUAAUAACAUUGUAUUCAUAGUAUUAAUAACAUUGUGAUAGCCAGAAAGUAGAAACAACCCAAGUGUCCAUCAGCUGAUAAAUGGAUAAACUAAAUGCGGUAUAUCUAUACAAUGGAAUGCUGCUGCUGCUGCUGCUAAGUCGCUUCAGUCGUGUCCGACUCUCUGCAACCCCAUGAAUUGCCGCACGCCAGGCCUCCCUGUCCAUCACCAACUUCCGGAGUUCACUCAAACUCACGUCCAUAGAGUCGGUGAUGCCAUCCAGCCAUCUCAUCCUCUGUCGUCCCCUUCUCCUGCUGCCCCCAAUCGCUCCCAGCAUCAGAGUCUUUUCCAAUGAGUCAACUCUUCGCAUGAGGUGGCCAAAGUACUGGAGUUUCAGCUUUAGCAUCAUUCUUUCCAAAGAAAUCCCAGGGCUGAUCUCCUUUAGAAUGGACUGGUUGGGUCUCCUUGCAGUCCAAGGGACUCUGUUAGUCACCUAUAAAAAGGAAGGAAGUACUGAUGCCUGUUGUAGCAUUGGGGAAACUUACAAACUUGAUGUUUGGUUACAGGGUUUCAGUAUGGGAAGAUGAAAACAGAUCUGGAGAGGGAUGGUGGUAAUAGUUGCACAACAAUAUGAAAAUGCUUAAUACUGCUGAACUCUGCACAUGGAAAUGGUUAAGAUGGUAAAUGGUUACAUAUAUUUUACAGCAAUAAUUUUUGAGCUCACUUAUAUGAAAUGUGCAGAACAGGCAAAUCUAGAGACAAAGAAUAGCCUGCUAGUUGCCUAGGACUACAAGAGAUGGAAUGGGGAGUUGCUGCUAAUGGAUUUAGGGUUUCUUUUUGGGG
ensembl:lncRNA